UACGUAGGUGACCAGCGUUGUCCGGAUUUACUGGGCGUAAAGAGCGCGCAGGCGGUCGUUCAAGUCGAGUGUGAAAGCCCCCGGCUCAACUGGGGAGGGUCACUCGAUACUGAUCGACUUGAAGGCAGGAGAGGGAAGCGGAAUUCCCGGUGUAGUGGUGAAAUGCGUAGAUAUCGGGAGGAACACCAGUGGCGAAGGCGGGUCUCUGGGCAAUUCCUGACGCUGAGGCGCGAAAGCGUGGGGAGCAAACGGG
rnacentral:rRNA from 1 species